rnacentral:tRNA from 1 species
GGCCGCCUGGCGAAAUGGCAUCGCGUCUGACUACGAUUGAGUUGUUAUCAGGAGAUUGCAGGUUCGACCCCUGCGGUGGUCA